rnacentral:rRNA from 1 species
GAUAGUGGCAAACGGGGUGAGUAACACGUAAGUAACCUACCCCCGAAGUACGGAAUAACCUGCCGAAAGGCGGACUAAUACUGUAUGUGGUGUCCCUUCGUUGGGAGGGCCACUAAAGGCUUCGGUCGCUUUGGGAGGGGCUUGCGUCCGAUUAGCUUGUUGGUGGGGUAAUGGCCUACCAAGGCGACGAUCGGUUGCUGGUUUGAGAGAAUGACCAGCCACACUGGGACUGAGACACGGCCCAGACUCCUACGGGAGGCAGCAGCAAGGAAUAUUGCGCAAUGGGCGAAAGCCUGACGCAGCGACGCCGCGUGAGGGAAGAAGGCCUUCGGGUCGUAAACCUCUUUUCUUGGGGAAGAAUAAUGACGGUACCCAGGGAAUAAGUCACGGCUAACUACGUGCCAGCAGCCGCGGUAAUACGUAGGCGGCGAGCAUUAUCCGGAUUUAUUGGGCGUAAAGCGAGUGUAGGUGGUUUUUUAUGUCGGAUGUGAAAUUUCCCGGCUCAACCGGGAAGGGUCAUUCGAAACUGGAAGACUUGAGGGCAGGAGAAGGAGAUGGAAUUCCCGGUGUAGUGGUGAAAUGCGUAGAUAUCGGGAGGAACACCAGUGGCGAAAGCGGUCUCCCAGCCUGUUCCUGACACUGAGGCUCUAAAGCGUGGGUAGCAAACAGGAUUAGAUACCCUGGUAGUCCACGCCUUAAACGAUGGAUACUAGGUAUGGGGGGUAUCGACCCCCUCCGUGCCAAAGUUAACACCUUAAGUAUCCCGCCUGGGGAGUACGGUCGCAAGACUAAAACUCAAAGGAAUUGACGGGGGCCCGCACAAGCAGCGGAGCGUGUGGUUUAAUUCGAUGCAACACGAAGAACCUCACCAAGGCUUGACAUACAAGAAGUAGUGAAACGAAAGUAGAACGACCUGUUGAGUCAGGAGCUGAACAGG